UACGAAGGGGGCUAGCGUUGCUCGGAAUCACUGGGCGUAAAGGGUGCGUAGGCGGGUCUUUUAAGUCAGGGGUGAAAUCCUGGAGCUCAACUCCAGAACUGCCUUUGAUACUGGCGACCUUGAGGCUGGAAGAGGUUAGUGGAAUUCCCAGUGUAGAGGUGAAAUUCGUAGAUAUUGGGAAGAACACCAGUGGCGAAGGCGGCUAACUGGUCCAGAUCUGACGCUGAGGUGCGAAAGCGUGGGGAGCAAACAGG
rnacentral:rRNA from 1 species